AAAAAAAAUAACAACAUUUUCUUCACACCUUCAGCACAGACUCGUGUAAAACCACAUCCCUUGGAAGUAAAUUAAACAUAACACUCUCCCUCUCUCUCCCUGCCUCUCCCUCUCUCUCACUGCCACUCCCUGCCUCCCCCAGAGCUCUGAGAACACCUACGGCUUCGAGACACCCAAGCUUGGAGAACACCUACGGCUUGGAGACACCCAGUAAGUCAGCCUGUAAACACCUGUGGCAGUGCUUCUUCAGAUUGACUCAAGCUUCUGGGAAUUCUACGGAUGCUGUCUUCUCCCUUGGAGCUAAGAUUGGGUCACAGCAAGAAGGAUGGUGAGGUGAGGCAGGCCAGGCUCAACUCAAGGAUGCAGCCAGAAUUUACAAGGAUGCCAAGUAGGAGAUACCCAGUAAGUCAGCCUGUAAACACCUGUAGCAGUCUCCCUGCCCCUCCCUGCCUCCCCCAGAGCUUGGAGAACACCUACGGCGUGGAGACACCCAGUAAGUCAGCCUGUAAACACCUGUGGCAGUUCUGUGUUGAGCAUCACGCCUUCUUCAGAUUAACUCAAGCUUCUGGGAAUUCUGCAGAUGCUGUCUUCUCCCUCAGAGGAGGAUUGUGGAAAGUGCACAGGACAAUCAGGCAGCAGCAAGCCUCAGUGGGCCCAGGUCACAGUGGGUCACACUCAGGUCAGAGGUCACAUGGCCACAGUGCACGACCUGACACACAAGAGUGGGUACCACCACCUUCAGGUGUGGACACGGAGGUUGACUCCCUCCACCACCACCACCACCACCACCACUCGGCUAACAAGAAACAACAUCACAAACACCGUAACUCCAGUGAUUGGAAGGCUACCCUCCCCCUGUGGAUGGAGAGAGCCCUCCCCUCCAUACACGCCAUCCCACGCACUCCAAGAACCAUACACUUCCGAAGGGCUGCAGUAAGGUGCAUGUGUGUGUGUGUGUGUGUGUGUGUGUGUGUGUGUGUGU